rnacentral:rRNA from 1 species
UUGGAAACUGGGAGACUUGAGUGCAGAAGAGGACAGUGGAACUCCAUGUGUAGCGGUGAAAUGCGUAGAUAUAUGGAAGAACACCAGUGGCGAAGGCGGCUGUCUGGUCUGCAACUGACGCUGAGGCUCGAAAGCAUGGGUAGCGAACAGGAUUAGAUACCCUGGUAGUCCAUGCCGUAAACGAUGAUUACUAAGUGUUGGAGGGUUUCCGCCCUUCAGUGCUGCAGCUAACGCAUUAAGUAAUCCGCCUGGGGAGUACGACCGCAAGGUUGAAACUCAAAAGAAUUGACGGGGGCCCGCACAAGCGG